UCUAGUGAGGCCACAUCUGGAGUACUGUGUCCAGUUCUGGUCUCCUCAGUACAAGCUACUGGAGAGGGUUCAGUGGAGGUCACAAAGAUGGUUAGGGGUCUGGAGCAUCUCUCUUACCGGAGGAGACUGUGGAAGCUGGGCUUGUUUAGUCUAGAGAAGAAAUGACUGAGAGGGAAUCUUAUCAAUAUAUAUAAAUAUCUCAAAUGUGGGUGUCAGAGAAUGGUGCCAGACUCUUUUCAGUGGUGCCCAGCUCCAGGACAAGA